ensembl:misc_RNA Metazoa_SRP Metazoan signal recognition particle RNA
GCCAGGCAUGGUGGUGCGUGCCUAUAAUCCCAGCUACUUGGGAGGCUGAGGCAGGAGAAUUGCUUGAACCCAGGAAGCAGAGGUUGCAGUGAGCCAAGAUUGUGCCACUGCACUCUAGCCUGGGAGACAAAGCAAGACUCUGUCUCAA